GCUGGGGGUAGUGGUGUACGCCUGUAAUCCCAGUGACUUGGGAGGCUGAGGUGGGAGAAUCAUGAGUUCAAAUCCAGCCUCAG
rnacentral:sRNA from 1 species